rnacentral:antisense_RNA from 1 species
GUGGGAGCUGGCUUGCCAGCGAUGACGGCGGGUCGGUCACAUCCUUAUUUUUUUGACACACCGCUAUCGCUGGCAAGCCAGCUCCCAC